rnacentral:rRNA from 1 species
UGUGAACGCUGGCGGUAGGCCUAACACAUGCAAGUCGAACGGCAGCACAGAGGAGCUUGCGCCUUGGGUGGCGAGUGGCGGACGGGGGAGGAAUACAUCGGAAUCUACUCUGUCGUGGGGGAUAACGUAGGGAAACUUACGCUAAUACCGCAUACGACCUACGGGUGAAAGCAGGGGAGCUUGGGGCCUUGCGCGAAUGAAUGAGCGUCUGUCGGAUUAGCUAGUUGGCGGGGUAAAGGCCGACCAAGGCGACGAUCCGUAGUUGGUCUGAGAGGAUGAUCAGCCACACUGGAACUGAGACACGGGCCAGCCGCCUACGGGAGGCAGCAGUGGGGAAUAUUGGACAAUGGGCGCAAGCCUGAUCCAGCCAUACCUCGUGGGUGAAGAAGGCCUUCCGGUUGUAAAGCCCUUUUGUUGGGAAAGAAAUCCAGCUGGCUAAUACCCGGUUGGGAUGACGGUACCCAAAGAAUAAGCACCGGCUAACUUCGUGCCAGCCGCCGCAGUAA